CAGUGGGGCCAGUGAUUUUGCAUUUCUAAGGUCCCAGGUGACUGAUGAUACUGGCCCCUGCAAAACACUUUGUGUUCCUGGUUGAAAAAUGUUUAAAUGGUUUCUGUUGCCUGGAGCUUGGCAGUGAGCUGGUUAGAGGGGCAUUUCCUUACGAAACAGGGAGUUGGAGCUGAGUAAAUGGUUAUUGUCCCGUUUAUUUUUCCUUAUGAUUUUACCAGGUUAGGACGGGUACUCACUCAUUCACUCACUCAUAAAUUUAGAGUAAAAUAGCAAAUAGCUAUGUGCAUUAACACUGCACUGUGUGUGUUUGAAGUAUUCCAAUUUUUUUUUUUGAGAAGUCCCUAGUGGGAGAGUUUGAGUCUCUGUUCUGUAAACAAUAACUUUGACUGUUAAAUUCCACAUCUAGAGUAAUUCUUCGUUUGACCCACCUGUUUAAUUGUUUACCCAUAUCAACAUUCAUGCACCCAGCCUAGGUCAAAGUCUUAACUGACUCUUUGUGAAAGCUUAUCAGACAAAGUUUUAAUUAUUUAAGGCUAAAAUAACAAAUAAGGUUUAUCUCUUAGGUUAACUCCAUUUAUUUGUUCUUUGAUAUCUGAAGCGAUCUCUGUAGAGAGGUUCUAAGGCUACUGUUUGAGCUUGAUGAGAAAGAGCAACAGAAAUGAUUAGUGGGGGGUGGGGGGGGGGAAGGAAAUAUCCUCACAGAAGCUGAGCUCCUUAUUUGACAUCUCUGAUAAAACAUUAGGUUAUGCUGACACCACAUUGACAGCAGAUGGUCUUUGCACCCUGUGCUUUGGUUAGCAUCCAUUGUCAAAUACUUAAAUAUUGGCUAAAGCUAUUAUAAAAAUAAUUUGUUUCAAAUUCCAUUCUAUUUUUUUUAAUACUAAGAUUGCUUUUUAGGCUGUAUACUCAGAGUAACUGGGCCAAGAUUCCAGUGAAGUAUCUGGAUUGUGCUAAAAAUAAGUGCAGUGUUAUUCCUUCAAUCCCCUCUCAGUGCUUGGAUUGAUUACUCCUCAAAUUCCUUGCUAAGAAAUUCUUCCUAAUAGAGAUUUAUUUGUAUGUAACCCAAAACUCCUAUUUGCAAACAACUGAUGGAGUUAUGAAAAGUCUUUCUUCAGUAGGUUAAACAUUUCCUGCAGUUGCUUUACAGACACUUUGUCAUUGUUACAAAGUAAAUCUUUAGUUUAAUCCUUAGUCAUAUCAAAAUUUUAAAUUAAUCGAGUCUGAAUCAUGAUUUUAUAAUAUUCCUAGAUUUGUGUAAUAAAGCAUUAACAAUAUUAACAAUUAUGAUACUUUUUUAAUGUGUUACACUCAAUUUGUUGGAGCAGAAAAGAUACGACAAACUAUAGAUGCCAGUGGAAAAGAAAAACAGAUUCUGGGGCGCCUAGGUGGCGCAGUCGGUUAAGCGUCCGACUUCAGCCAGGUCACGAUCUCGCGGUCCGGGAGUUCGAGCCCCGCGUCAGGCUCUGGGCUGAUGGCUCGGAGCCUGGAGCCUGUUUCCGAUUCUGUGUCUCCCUCUCUCUCUGCCCCUCCCCCGUUCAUGCUCUGUCUCUCUCUGUCCGAAAAAUAAAUAAACGUUGAAAAAAAAAAAAAAAUGAAAAAAAAAAAAAAAAAAAAAAAAAAAAAAAGAAAAACAGAUUCAAAUUAUCCAGUGAUGUACUCAACUAUAAACUACAUUUUUAAAAGGGGGACAUAAAAUAUCCUGGGCACUUGUGCAUAUUCUUGUGUAUAUGUUCUUGUGUUGUUGGUGGUGGUGUAUAUUGUUUUGGCUUUGUUUUGUUUUUUUGUUCCCUAUAUUAAACCAAAUAAGAGCUUUUCUGACUUGGUGGUAGAAAGUCAGGAUAGAGAGCUGGCUGAUCUGUCCUCCAUUUCUAAGUUGUAUAUAAUCUGUUGGGCUACUCUUGUGUCCCCCUCUUCAUAUGUUUAGAUGGCUGGUGCUGACCGCCAUAACAAGGUCUGUGUCAUAGCUAUGUAAUAUAAGAAUGCUAAAGUUAUCACACUUAUAUUACUGUAAAUUCAGCGCCUGAUGCUGUACAAUUACGAUACUGCAUUUGAAGAAAAUAAAAAAGCGAAUUCAAAUUUGUGU
rnacentral:lncRNA from 1 species